GCCCUACAGGGUGCAGCAGGCGCGAAAACUUUACAAUGCUGGCAACAGCGAUAAGGGAACCUCGAGUGCCAGGUUACAAAUCUGGCUGUCGAGAUGCCUAAAAAGCAUUUCAUAGCAAGGGCCGGGCAAGACCGGUGCCAGCCGCCGCGGUAACACCGGCGGCUCGAGUGGUAACCGUUAUUAUUGGGUCUAAAGGGUCUGUAGCCGGCCGGAUAAGUCUCUUGAGAAAUCUGGCAGCUUAACUGUCAGGCUUUCAGGAGAUACUGUCUGGCUCGAGGCCGGGAGAGGUGAGAGGUACUUCAGGGGUAGGGGUGAAAUCUUGUAAUCCUUGAAGGACCACCAGUGGCGAAGGCGUCUCACCAGAACGGACCUGACGGCAAGGGACGAAAGCUAGGGGCACGAACCGGAUUAGAUACCCGGGUAGUCCUAGCCGUAAACGAUACUCGCUAGGUGUCGGCCACGGUGCGACCGUUGUCGGUGCCGUAGGGAAGCCGUGAAGCGAGCCACCUGGGAAGUACGGCCGCAAGGCUGAAACUUAAAGGAAUUGGCGGGGGAGCACCACAACGGGUGGAGCUUGCGGUUUAAUUGGAUUCAACGCCGGAAAUCUUAC
rnacentral:rRNA from 1 species